rnacentral:tRNA from 3 species
AGGGCAGUAGUUUCAAUGGAAGAACGGUGGUCUCCAAAACCACAAGUGGGGGUUCGACUCCCUCCAGCCCUGCCA